GGAAUUUGGGUCGGGACGGCAUAAAAAUGGAAUCUAAGAAUUAGCCGGUUCUUUGUCUUGAGCUGGAGGAAAAACACCACCGUGAGAGAGUCCAGUUCCAUCCCCACAACAUCACUGGCCUUACGAAUGAGUUUGUGGAUUCUGUUGGUGUCUGCUACCCUCGGCCUGCUGCCCCAGCACACAACAGCAAACAUGAUAGCACUGGCCACCACAGACUCGUAGAACAUCCUCAGCAUCGUCCGGCAGAUGUUAAAGGACCUCAGUCUCCUCAGGAAAAUAGAUGUUUACCCUUCGAAUGAGGAUGAAGUUGAGAUUAUUGUCGUAUGCGCAAGUACAUGCAAGCAGA